AAUAAUGCUACAAUAUUAGAUGUACUAGGAAAAAUUAGAAAAUUAAAAUGGAAAUGGGCUGGGCAUGUUUGCAGACAAAAUCAAGAUAGGUGGGCAAAAAGAGUAACGGAAUGGUAUCCCAGAGAUGGAAAAAGAGCAAGAGGGAGACAAAGAAUUAGAUGGAGUGAUGAUUUUGUGAAAAUUAUGGGAGCAACAUGGCAACGAUUGACCCAAGACAGAGAAAUGUGGAAAAGACUGGAGGAGGCCUUCGUCCAAAGGGCGUACUGAAAACAAAUAAAAUUGGAA